CACAUGUUUUUCAUUAUUGAUAUGACUCCAUUACAUUUUAUAGGUUCUGUUCAAAUUUAAAAAGCUGCUAAAUGAGCAGUCAUGAAUGUACCUGGAAAAAAUAGCACUCUUAUCUGUGCAUUGAACGCGACACCCAGUGACCAGCCUUGGUGCAUUUUGUACAAGCAAAGACUGAAGCAGGAGCCUCAGCAAGUAGGAACAGUGCAAACAAAUAAACAGGACAUAUUUUCUUCUCCAUUCAACAACUCCAAAGUUACAAUGAUGUGGAUUACUAGCACAAAUGUUUGCCUAUUCAAAAUGCUAAAACACAUGAUGAAGGAACUUAUUUCUGUGGAAUACCAGAAGCAACAAGGGUUCACUUUUUCUCUUAUACCUUCGUCAAUGUGACAGCAAGACCUCAACAAGUUAUUAUGAUGGAGAAAACCACCAGUCAGUCACAUGAUGCUGAAGAGUUGAAUUAUG